UCCAGACUCCUACGGGAGGCAGCAGUGGGGAAUAUUGCACAAUGGGGGAAACCCUGAUGCAGCAACGCCGCGUGAAGGAAGACGGUUUUCGGAUUGUAAACUUCUGUUCUUAGUGAAGAAGAAUGACGGUAGCUAAGGAGCAAGCCACGGCUAACUACGUGCCAGCAGCCGCGGUAAUACGUAGGGGGCAAGCGUUAUCCGGAUUUACUGGGUGUAAAGGGAGCGUAGACGGCAAUGCAAGUCUGGAGUGAAAGCCCAAGGCCCAACCAUGGGACUGCUCUGGAAACUGUGUAGCUUGAGUGCAGGAGGGGUAAGCGGAAUUCCUAGUGUAGCGGUGAAAUGCGGAGAUAUUAGGAGGAACACCGGUGGCGAAGGCGGCUUACUGGACUGCAACUGACGUUGAGGCUCGAAGGCGUGGGGAGCAAACAGGAUUAGAUACCCCUGUA
rnacentral:rRNA from 1 species